AUGCUUGGAACUGCUGAGUCCUCUGACGAAGAAGAUGAUGAUAGCGAGGAUGGCGAUCAUCAUAUGAAGGCGGAGAACUCAAAACCUAUAUCCGGCGAUGAUCUUGGUGAUUCCUUCUCUUUUGACGAGCCAACAAAAAGGAAAAAAGGUUGGGUUGACGAAAUUUACGAGAAUGAGGCUAGAAAGAUAGGUGAAGGUGUAGCAUCUGGCGAUGAAGGAAGUGAUGACAGUGGUGAGGAUGAGGAUGAGGAUGAAGAAGAAGAUGCUGGUGAUGAAGAGGAUUCAAGUGAUAAUGACUUCCGUAAUAUGCCGGCAAGGGACUGGGAGCAAAGUGAUGACGGUGAGGCUGUUGUAGAAGAAGAUGAAAAGGAUGAUGUCAAAGAUAAAGAACAAGUUAUUGGUAACAAAGUUAUUAAAACAAAUGCACAAAAUUUGAAGAGAGUAUCUAACACAAAGCAAAACCGCAUGGCAAGGAUGAAGAUCAUCCUUCGUGAUAGAAGCACCAAAUAA
rnacentral:rRNA from 1 species